CAAUGUAUGUCAACUAACGGAGCCAAGCAAUGUCCAGGCCAGGGUGCGCAGUUGUCAUGAAUUAAUUAAUGUUUUUAUGAGCAUUGAAAACAUUAAAAUGAGCACCAGCACAUCCAAGUGUGAUAGGGCUCAUAUGAGUUGCACUACCAAAUAUUUUCACUGUGUAGAUAUAGUACUCUACAAGCUUUUAGAUAAUCAUGAAAUGCAUUGUUGGACUUAACAUUGUUUAAAAAGUAACCACGUUAGCCUUCAAGUAAGCUAAUUAUACCAUAGCACUGCAAUGAGUUUAAGAGUAGAUUUAAUAUGCCCCACUGUCAUAGCUGUUGUUCCAUUGUUCAUUGCUGUUGUGUUUUCUAGGACAAAGCAAAGAACCUUGCCGUCCUAUCUUGGGAAAGAGGCGCAAUGCACUCCACAGAAGGCAGCCGAACUCAGCAAAAUAAUCUUGAGAGUGAUCGUCAAAGACAUGAGGCCUUUGUCUCUCGUUGAGGGUGAAGCCUUCAUAGAUAUGAUUGAAUAUGCCUGCCCAGGCUUCAAAUGUCCCUCCAGGUGGUGGUUUACCAAGCAGCUGGAGAAAGCAUACCAACAUGUUCUUGGCGAUCUGAAGGGAAACUUAAAGAAGAGGUCCUGUGUUGGGACUGUUAUAUUGUGUUAAACACUCAGGAAUUUCUGCACUGUGCACGGCAGUGUUUGUUUUUGCACUACAUUUUUUAUCUUUUGUAAUUUUGUACAGAAGAGAUUUUUUGUUGGACUGUAAGACUAAACAGGCUGGCCUUUUUAUUUUGUAUAAUUUUAUUCUAUAUUUCUUGUUUUGUUGUGCAAUAAAAAAAAAACUAUAUUAUUAAGAA